UUUAUGUUUUACUUCUUGUUCUUUAAUGCAUAUAGAUGCAAAAAUAGUAUUAGAAAAACUAUUAAAAUUUUAAUUCUAGUAGAUAUUUGGAGCAAUCUAAAAAUAAUUUGAGAAAUUUUUAUGCUAUAAUCUUAUUAGGACCAUUUGAAAAACCCUGUUCUUGGUUUUAUCCUAGAUUAGAGGAUGUGUUCUUUGUCUUCUACUUUUUUGUAUUCUGUUGUGAAGUUUGUCUGUCUUGGCUACUUGAGGGAAAAACUUCUUUACAUGCUUGUUUUCUUGUAUCAAAGUUUUCAUGUGGACAAUCUAAUAAAGUGCUUUGUGUUGCAGCCCAAUCCGUUGUUGGAAGUAGAGUCCAGAGAGGGAGAAGUCAGCUGAAUCAGGGUGGGUAUCUUGGGGAAGUGGGCUCCUCCCUGGCGCUGUCCUCUUCCAUGGCGCCGUAGCUCCUCAGCCUUCUAGGAGCGUGGGGAUGCUGGGCCCAAGAUCUCUGAGUUCUGGGGAGGAAGGCCACACACAAUUUGAACAGGUGUCCAUUUUCACAAAAUAGCGCUGUCAUUUCGUUGCCACUGUUUUGUAGUUGUUUAGAAAAUUAUGAGCAGUUGGGCAUCCGCUAUGUAAAUUUUCCCUAUAUCUCUAAAGCUAUCGUGGGAAGAAUUAAAUUACCACUGUCCCCAAGUUCUUCGAGCAAAACUUCUUUUGGGCUGUUCUUUCAUAUAUACGUUUUAAUAAAAUGAUUCCAAGAAAAGCAUUCGUGUUCACUUGUUAUGCCAAAAGCUCUUAUUUGUUCUAGAUCAGAGAACCUUAUGGAAAAAUAAACUAUAGUGUGUAUCAUUUUCAUUUUUUAAAUUGUAAAGAAGUUUGUGGAACAGUUUGUAUUAACUAGAGAGAUUCGUUUUUCAAUAAGCUUUGGGCUAAGAAAUGUUCCAUUUGGUUAAAUGAGCAUUUUUUUCAGGGCUAACAUUUAGUUUCAUGUUAAAGAAAACAAAGGAAUAAAAAGAUGAGACCUAGUAACAAGAAAUCACAGAAAUAAAGACGAAACCAAGUUUAAGUUUGUGCGCAUGCCGGAGUUCUUGGAAGCAAGUGAGAAACGGUCAGAGAGGCUCUGGGUGCUCUGUGCUGUCGGUGUCAGUGCCCCGGGGCUUAGGGGUUGCUAUGGAAACAGAUCCCACUGCUGUUCUCGCGGGCACCAUGAGUUUUGUCCACUCCUCCUGGACACUGCUGUGGCUGGUGGAAGUCAUCAAAUGGUCACCAUCCAAGUUUAAUUCCCGUGUUGGUGGUUUACUAAGAAGAGCUAAAUUGACAGAGUGGCUCUAGAUAAGAGAACCAGUGAUAGGAGAGCUAGGGAAGAAGCACCUGUCUCCUGUGCUGGAGAGUGGACAGCAUGUUGUGUGGCAUUAUAACUAAGAAACCGGGGAGAACAAAGCCUGCCUCCCUCCCCAUCCCUGAGUAAGACACUGGCUCUCCUUUUUAUUACCUACAAAGGUAGAUCGGACUGAAUCCAGGCACUGUUUCAAACUGUGAAGCUAUGGUGCCCUUGUAUUUCAGACAUUUCAGGGAAGUGGUUAUGGUUCUUACAGAGAUAGGUUGUCCUUGUCAUGGAAGCACUGCUCCAGUGGCCCCGGGGCCAUAUCUGCUCUGUGCUCAGCAUGAAGGGCAAGAAGCUGUGUGUGUGUGGUACGAGUUGUAACCAGUUUCUGGAUCUGUGUGGCACUGUUAAGAUGCUUAUUUUAUAAAUCUGUAACUGUAUGGCAGUAGGAUGCCAAAAGUGUAUAAAGAGCAAUAGUUUCUGUUGCUUACUGCUGUUUGUCAAAAUAUUGUUUCUCAAUAUAUUUAGAGGUCCUUCAGAGUAAUUAUUUUUAACAACUCUUUCCAAAUAUAUGUCCUGUAAAACUAAUAAAAACCAUUUUAUCUUUGGUAACAUUUUAGCACUG
ensembl:lncRNA